rnacentral:rRNA from 1 species
GAGUUUGAUCCUGGCUCAGAACGAACGCUGGCGGCAUGCCUAAUACAUGCAAGUCGAACGAGAUCUUCGGAUCUAGUGGCGCACGGGUGCGUAACGCGUGGGAAUCUGCCCUUGGGUUCGGAAUAACUUCUGGAAACGGAAGCUAAUACCGGAUGAUGACGUAAGUCCAAAGAUUUAUCGCCCAAGGAUGAGCCCGCGUAGGAUUAGCUAGUUGGUGAGGUAAAGGCUCACCAAGGCGACGAUCCUUAGCUGGUCUGAGAGGAUGAUCAGCCACACUGGGACUGAGACACGGCCCAGACUCCUACGGGAGGCAGCAGUAGGGAAUAUUGGACAAUGGGCGAAAGCCUGAUCCAGCAAUGCCGCGUGAGUGAUGAAGGCCUUAGGGUUGUAAAGCUCUUUUACCCGGGAUGAUAAUGACAGUACCGGGAGAAUAAGCUCCGGCUAACUCCGUGCCAGCAGCCGCGGUAAUACGGAGGGAGCUAGCGUUGUUCGGAAUUACUGGGCGUAA